AGUCCUCUCUCCUGCGCCGCAUGCUGCCUCGCGCUCCCUUUCCUUCCCCCUCUACCCCCUUCCGCGAUUUACUGUUUCCUCGCGCCCAACAGAAAUGGGCGACCGCAAGUCUUACUCUCGCCGGCGUUACAAAGGUACCGGCCUUUGACCUCUCCUUGAAUUAAUGUGAUCCGAUUCAUCUUCCCUCCAAGUUUUUUUUUUAAUUUAAUUACCCCUCCCUGCCCUGGCCCUGCCAGCUUCAGCUCCACCUCCUUGGAGGAAGCAGGCGCUUUUACAGAGCGCCGCGCGGCAGGUCCCCUUUCAGCCAAUCACAUCUGCGGAACCGCGUUCCGAGUCGUUUGAGGGUGUCUGGUAAAGCAAGCUCGGGGCGGUGUUGGAAAUCUGAAUGUCACCCGCGGUCCGGAGCAGAUAGGAUGGGCUGGGAAGGUACCCGCGAACUGCCGCCGGAAUUCGCUGGCAGCUGUGCGAGGCUCAGGUGUUCUAGUUUGACAUUUCCCUUCCUGAAAGCGGCAAGGAGAGGUCUAAGAGUGGGCAAACUUCAACGUUCGGUUACAGUGUAAUUAAUGAGAGUGGUGGGUUUUUAUGCAGUGUAAUUAUGCCACGAUUUGUUGUUGCUCAGUGGCUUUUUCACAAAUUUCUACAGAUUAUUUAAAUUUUCCACAAAUUUCUACGGAUUAAUUCAAUGGCAGCUCACUUUCUCCUUUUAUGAUCGGAUGGGUCCGAAAGUGAGGAAAAAGACAAUUGUCUACAAAGAAAGAGGCUGCCAAGUGGAGACAGAAAAGCAGUUAUGAGACUGAUGAUAGAUUCCAAUUUGUUAUCGAAAGGAAGGAGGAGACCUGAACAGUACAUCCGGAGAAUCCAGCAAAGCAUACUACGGCAUGAACGUGCAAGUGGACAGAAUUAAAACACAUGCCAGAAACACUAAUGGAUUCUAAACAAGAUGCAGUUUCAUUUCCUGAGCCUAUACGUGAUGUUUUUAACUGUUCUCCAGUUAAUAUGUCUCCAUUUCCAGAAAUCUAACAGGAGAAUCUCUGACUGCUUAACAGAUCACCUAAGCUUGCGAUUUGUGCAAUCCUUUCUAGAGUAAGGGCUCCCCGGCUGCUCCCCGGCCACUGUGUACCCAAAGCAGCGGCUGAAAUAGCCCGGAGUCCAACAGCUCAGCGUCAAGCAGCUCGUGGUUUGUACUUACAUCAUUUUUUUUUUCAGAGCAAGAGUGAAAGUUUAUUAAAAAGCGUUAGAACAGUAAGGAAAGGAAAGGAGAGAAAAUAAGGAAAGUACAACUUGGAAGAGGGCCAAGCGGGCGACUUGAGAAAUCAAGUGCCUGUACUUACAUCAUUCUUAACCCUUUCGCUCCUGGAGGGGGCUCAGCGGGAUCAGGGGGCCCCUGAACUUCGGAACACGCAGGACCUGGGUGUGAGAGAAGAGUCCCAAAGCUUGGCGUGAGCAAUGCACUCGCGGAGGGAGAGAGCCCGGGGCUUGCGGGGGGCUCAUCACCCGCUCGUAGACAACGGGCCCCCGCAAUCCCUGCGGGCUCCGCCGCUGCUCUCACCGCUCAAAACGGCAGGUGCAAAAAGCAUUUGGGAGCCGCUUGCCAGCGCGCGGAGGUAAUGCGCUUCCUGUCCAUUUAUCUCAGGAAACCAGUGCAGCCUUCCCUUCGAAACAAAAUUAACCUCUCAUUAGCCAGCCACUCGCUCCCAAGAAGGCCUUAAAAGCUUUACCAGCUCGCUAAUGUAUUUAGGCUUUUCUUCCAGGCAAACGCAGCCGCCGGUCUUGACUGCCAUCGCCCAAGGGGUUCCUCUGGGCUCUCCCGCGAGCCAACAGCCGACCUCUCUCCAGCCUAGUCUGGGAAACUCCAGCCAACCCAGGAUCCCAUUUUGUAGUCCCGGGCAGACCCGAAACCCCUGAAAGAACUCCACUCCAGAAGACGCCAGAACAAGUUCCCACGAAUUUCAUGGGCGCCCUUCACAUGAAAACCUCAGCUCCCCUAUCCUCAAGGAACGGGGAAGGGCGCCGGGGAGGGACUUCGGUGGCCAGCUGUCCCUGGGUCGUGGGCGCUGUUUGCUCUGCGGAGCGCCAGCCCUGCACACAGCGGGUGCGGGAAGCGUUGAUGGGAGGCUGGAGGGCGGGGUGAGCGUAAACUAGGAUCUAGCCGGUUCCAGGCGUGGAGAAUCAAAUGUGGUCCUAGAUCUGUAAGUUGCGAAAAGGGGCUUUUGGGAGCGUCAGAGCUUUCUCACUCCGGUCCCCCGCCGCCUUGAGGCUGGCAGAUUUAUACCCCACAGGUGGAUGGAGACCUAAACAAAACAGUCCCGGCCGCUGCCUGCCGCUCGCCCCCCACGUCCCCCGGGCCCACCGCAAACUUCAACAAAAUAAACAACUCACCACAGGCA
rnacentral:lncRNA from 1 species